GACAAAGCUCUGUGUGACUAUUUAGUUAUGAGAUUUCCACUUGACAAAUGGAACUAAGCAAGCUGCAGGGAAAUCUUUGGAUGCAGCCUACAUCAGUUUCCCAGACACACAGACUGAACACAGCUGAGGAAGAAUCUCUGAGCUUGAGAACAUCUCAACAGAAAAUGCCAAAACUGAAAAGCAAAAACAACAAAAAGUAAAAAAAAAAAAAGGAAAAGAAUAUCCAAGAAUGAGGAACAACUAAAAAUGGUAUAAAUGCAUGUAAUGUGAAUAACAGAAAAAGAAACAGAAAAAAAUCUGAAAUAAUUAUAACUGAGAAUCAUAGCAAAGUAAUGUCAGACACCAAACCACAGACACUCAAAACUCAGAGAACACUGAGACAGAUAAAUGCUGAAAAAUCUACACCUAGAUGUAUCAUUUUCAAACUACAAAAAAAAUCAAAGAUUAAGAAAAAAAGUCAUGAGAGAAGCUAGAAGAAAUAAAUACCUUACCUAUAAAGGAGAAGAGAUAAGAAUUAUAUCCAACUUCUCCCCAGAAACCAUGUAAGCAAGAAGAAAGUAGAGAGACAUAUUUAAAGGGUUGAGGGAAAAAAACACCACCAAUCUAGAAUUCCGUACCCUGCAAAAUUAUCCAUCAAAAGUGAAGAAGAAAAGAAUGUUUUCUCAAACAAAGAAAAACUUAAGAAACUUGUCAGUAGAUCUGUUUUGCAAAAAUCAUUAAAGUUUCUUCAGACAGAAGGAAAUAUAGGUCAGAAACUUGAACCACAUGAAGAAAGAAAGAACAAUGAAGAAGAAUAAAUGAAGGCAAAAUUUUUUGACCCAGCAAUCCCAUUACUGGGUAUAUACCCAAAGGAUUAUAAAUCAUUCUACUAUAAACACACUUGCACAUGUAUGUUUAUUGUGGCACUGUUCACAAUAGCAAAGAGUUGGAACCAACCCAAAUGCCCAUCAAUGGUAGACUGGAUAAAGAAGAUGUGGCACAUAUACA
rnacentral:lncRNA from 10 species